rnacentral:misc_RNA from 1 species
GUGAAUCAUCGAAUUUUUGAACGCACAUUGCGCUUCCUGGCAUCCCGGGAAGUAUGCCUGUUUGAGGGUCAGUAUUAACAACAAAUCGGUUUGGUUGCAAAUUGUGACGUUUCCGGAGUGUGGGCAAUCUCAACUUUUUUGGUUAAGGAGCUUAAAAUUGACCUUAUUAGCGCAUUUUUAGACGCACAUAAAUUUUUUUUUUAUUCGUUUCUUCUUAAUGCC